CGGCAGGCUUAACACAUGCAAGUCGAGGGGUAACAGGGGACUUCGGUUCUGCUGACGACCGGCGAACGGGUGAGUAACGCGUAUGCAACUUGCCUCUAACUGGAGGAUAGCCCGGGGAAACCCGGAUUAAUACUCCAUAAUAUUUCAGAAACUCAUGUUUUUGAUAUUAAAGCUCCGGCGGUUAGAGAUAGGCAUGCGGGCCGUUAGCUAGUUGGUGAGGUAAAGGCUCACCAAGGCAACGAUGGCUAGGGGGUCUGAGAGGAUGAUCCCCCACACUGGUACUGAGACACGGACCAGACUCCUACGGGAGGCAGCAGUGAGGAAUAUUGGUCAAUGGGCGCAAGCCUGAACCAGCCAUGCCGCGUGCAGGAUGAAGGUCCUACGGAUCGUAAACUGCUUUUGUACGGGAAGAAUUUCCUUGUUUUUACAGGGAUUGACGGUACCGUAUGAAUAAGGAUCGGCUAACUCCGUGCCAGCAGCCGCGGUAAUACGGAGGAUCCUAGCGUUAUCCGGAUUCACUGGGUUUAAAGGGUGCGUAGGCGGAAUAAUAAGUCAAUGGUGAAAGCCUGCAGCUUAACUGUAGAAUUGCCAUUGAUACUGUUAUUCUUGAGUAUAGUUGAGGUGGGUGGAAUGUGUAAUGUAGCGGUGAAAUGCGUAGAUAUUACACAGAACACCGAUUGUGAAAACAGCCCACUAAACUGUAACUGACGCUGAGGCACGAAAGCGUGGGUAGCAAACAGGAUUAGAUACCCUGGUAGUCCACGCUGUAAACGAUGAUCACUCGCUGUUGGCAAUAAAUCGUCAGCGGCCAAGCGAAAGCAUUAAGUGAUCCACCUGGGGAGUACGUCCGCAAGAAUGAAACUCAAAGGAAUUGACGGGGGCCCGCACAAGCGGAGGAACAUGUGGUUUAAUUCGAUGAUACGCGAGGAACCUUACCUGGGCUUAAACGCUAGUCGACGUCCGCCGAAAGGUGGAUUCCUUCGGGCGACUUGCAAGGUGCUGCACGGCUGUCGUCAGCUCGUGCCGUGAGGUGUCGGGUUAAGUCCCAUAACGAGCGCAACCCCUAUUGUUAGUUGCCAACGGGUAAUGCCGGGGACUCUAACGAAACUGCCGGUGUAAACCGGAGGAAGGUGGGGAUGACGUCAAGUCAGCAUGGCCCUUAUGUCCAGGGCUACACACGUGUUACAAUGGCCAGUACAAAGGGCAGCUACUACGUAAGUAGAUGCUAAUCUCUAAAGCUGGUCCCAGUUCGGAUUGAAGUCUGCAACUCGACUUCAUGAAGGUGGAUUCGCUAGUAAUCGCACAUCAGCAAUGGUGCGGUGAAUACGUUCCCGGGCCUGUACACACCGCCCGUCAAGCCAUGGGAGUCGGAGGUACCUGAAGUCCGUAACC
rnacentral:rRNA from 1 species